GAGUUUGAUCCUGGCUCAGGAUGAACGCUAGCGGCAGGCCUAACACAUGCAAGUCGAGGGGUAAGCGUAGCUUGCUACGCCUAGACCGGCGCACGGGUGCGUAACGCGUGUACAAUCUACCUUUUACUGGGGAAUAGCCCGAAGAAAUUUGGAUUAAUGCCCCAUAGUAUAGAGCAGUGGCAUCACAGCACUAUUAAAGCUUCGGUGGUAAGAGAUGAGUACGCGUUCUAUUAGUUAGUUGGUGAGGUAACGGCUCACCAAGGCUAUGAUAGAUAGGGGUUCUGAGAGGGAUGUCCCCCACACUGGUACUGAGAUACGGACCAGACUCCUACGGGAGGCAGCAGUGAGGAAUAUUGGUCAAUGGUCGGAAGACUGAACCAGCCAUGCCGCGUGCAGGAUGACGGCCUUAUGGGUUGUAAACUGCUUUUGUAUGGGAAGAAUAAGGGGUACGUGUACUCUGAUGACGGUACUAUAUGAAUAAGCAUCGGCUAACUCCGUGCCAGCAGCCGCGGUAAUACGGAGGAUGCGAGCGUUAUCCGGAAUCAUUGGGUUUAAAGGGUCUGUAGGCGGGCUAUUAAGUCAGAGGUGAAAGCACUGAGCUCAACUGAGUAACUGCCUUUGAAACUGAUAGUCUUGAAUACUUACGAAGUAGCUGGAAUGUGUAGUGUAGCGGUGAAAUGCUUAGAUAUUACACAGAACACCGAUAGCGAAGGCAUGUUACUAGUAAGGUUAUUGACGCUGAGGGACGAAAGCGUGGGGAGCGAACAGGAUUAGAUACCCUGGUAGUCCACGCUGUAAACGAUGGAUACUAGCUGUUUGCGAGAAAAUUGUGAGUGGCUAAGCGAAAGUGAUAAGUAUCCCACCUGGGGAGUACGCACGCAAGUGUGAAAAUCAAAAGGAAUUGACGGGGGCCCGCACAAGCGGUGGAGCAUGUGGUUUAAUUCGAUGAUACGCGAGGAACCUUACCAAGGUUUAAAAUGGGAAAGGGAACGUAGGUAGAGAUACCUAUUUCUUCGGACGCUUUUCAAGGUGCUGCAUGGUUGUCGUCAGCUCGUGCCGUGAGGUGUCAGGUUAAGUCCUAUAACGAGCGCGAACCCCUGCCCUUUAUUUGCCAUCGAGUAGAGUCGGGCGACUAUAGAGGGACUGCCGGUGCGAAACCGUGAGGAAGGUGGGGAUGACGUCAGAUCAUCACGGCCCUUACUUCUUGGGCUACGCGCGUGCUACGAAUGGUCGUUACGGAGA
rnacentral:rRNA from 1 species